UGCCCAGAAACUCCUAUCCCUACCUCCACGCGGUCCCGGCCGGAAACUAUGAGCAACCUUAGGGAAGA
rnacentral:ribozyme from 1 species